UAACUAAUGGUAAGUACCAAUUAUUUUCACAAUUUUUAUGAAUGAAGCUGUAAUCACCAAAGGUGUACAGCCCAUACAGGCACUGGCCAGAGUGCAUAUACCACUAUCCCAUAAGGGGGGGGAACAUAUAGGUGUGAAUUUUGACAAAUUUUUAACUGCCAAAACAAUGUAAGCUACCAUAAACUUUCAGUGAAAUUAAUUGAAUAUUUGCUACCCUUAUUAAACCUUUGGCUACCAUGAAGAGUUUUCUUCACACAGAGGACAGUAGAUAGGCAUUUGGAUUAACAUGAGUUUUCCUCUUAUCUGUGUGCCAGCCACCGUCUAAUGACUGGCGUAUCUUUCAAUGUUUGAAUUUCAACGAUCUGUAUGAGCACUGCUCUAUUUUGAAAGUGUGUUGUGCAGAAAUAUAGAUCAUGGAAAAAUAAAAGUAUCCUUUUGUUCCCCCUCCCCUUAUAUAUUUUAUAUAAGCAUUUUUUGACAAGUCUAGGACUGCAUGAGGAUUUAUUAUAGUUUUAAGUAAACUUAACCCUUUCCCGACGGGGCACGCACUACGCGAAAACCCCUAUGCCGGGCGAUUGCAAUAAUGCAUUGUAAUAGUCACGCUGGCAUGACGCCCCGGCAUCAGAGGUUUGGCUGUCACACGAGUGUGAUGCACCGUCGUCAUUGGGUUAAUUUCAUAGUGAAAGGAAUGUCCUAGUUGCUUCAAAGCACUUUUUGUCUGCAGGAUGAACUUCACUAGCAAUGAAAUAGGAUGAUAUCCUAUAUUGACUGGCAGACUACAAGCCUCUAAUAGGUGGAGCUAUGCCAAGAUGAGUACACACAAGAAUCCAUCACAGCUUGUAAUCAAGAACUUGCAUCUGUGGAUAUGAAGCUAUACAAAUACCUAUAUUAAGGAAAAUCAAGAACUUGCAUCUGUGGAUAUGAAGCUAUACAAAUACCUAUAUUAAGGAAAUUCGGACUUUUAACUGGAUAUGAAAGGACUAAGACAUACAUUGACAAGUUCGUAUCGAGUGAAUACUACUUGGGAAAGGAUUGACUAGAGCAGCACAUUACAAGAACCAAACAAAUUAGGCAAUAUUCAUUGGGACCCCAUGCAACAGCAGAUAAGCAAGAUGAAGGAAAUAAAUUUUUGUAUAUAUUGCAGAGAGCAGAAAUGGAUAUUAAAUCUAAAAGGUAAGGUAAUUGUUUCUUCCUUUGUAACAUGUGAUUAUUCUAUUUUUCUUAAUCUCAGGCAGUAUUGGAGAUACCAUGACUUAUAACACAACUUCAAUGUAGAUCUUUGACUUUAACAAUCAUCAUUCACUUUUACUUUGGAAUUAUGAAUAGAUUACUGAAUGUAAUGAAGUACUAUAUCAGUUUAAUUUUAAAUAAAUUUUCCAUCAAUGUUUGCAGUAGAUGUUAGUGCUAGUUGAAAUGCAUAUACAAUUGUAGUGUAGCAUUUUUGUGCAUGUAUUAUCUAAUUAUUUUCUAGGUAAUAAAAUAAAAUAUAAAUUGAAAA
rnacentral:lncRNA from 1 species